rnacentral:rRNA from 1 species
AAUGAACGCUGGCGGCAGGCCUAACACAUGCAAGUCGAACGGCACCUUCGGGUGUAGUGGCGGACGGGUGAGUUACGCGUGGGAACGUACCUUUUGCUUCGGAAUAGCCUCGGGAAACUGGGAGUAAUACCGAAUGUGCUCUUCGGAGGAAAGAUUUAUCGGCAAAAGAUCGGCCCGCGUUGGAUUAGCUAGUUGGUGAGGUAAUGGCUCACCAAGGCGACGAUCCAUAGCUGGUUUGAGAGGAUGACCAGCCACACUGGGACUGAGACACGGCCCAGACUCCUACGGGAGGCAGCAGUGGGGAAUCUUAGACAAUGGGCGCAAGCCUGAUCUAGCCAUGCCGCGUGAGCGAUGAAGGCCUUAGGGUUGUAAAGCUCUUUCGCUGGGGAAGAUAAUGACUGUACCCAGUAAAGAAGCCCCGGCUAACUCCGUGCCAGCCGCCGCGGUAAUAC